UGUACUCCUGCAAUAUAAACUUACAGUAAGACUAGGAGUCAGAUACAAGGUCAGCAGGAAACCAAGUGCACCCAUGACACUGGGAUAAUAUUAAGAAUUGAAUUGAAAUGUGAUGACAUUCAAAGAGGAGUUUCGGAAAAGGGGACUGGAACUUUUACUGGAAACCUGAAUCAGAACUGUGAGGGGUUUUCUCAUUUUUGUCUUACUCCAUUGCCUAGAGACACUAAAGAUUUUAAACUGUCCUAUACAAUAUAGCACAUGGUUAAUUCAAAUUCAUCUGUAUAUCAGGUAACACAGUAAUGUAGUCCAAUAAAGAACCAGAAAUCACUUCUUUAACUGAUUACCCAACUGUGCUGGGUGUGAACUGGGGCUGUGGUCUGAUAAAAAGGAGGCAAGAGCAUCAUACUGUUAGUUGUUGCAUCUCAACUGUAAGAAAGUGUCUUACAACAGGAAAGCUUCAGAUUCAUAAAUUUCUUCUGCUUAGGUUCUGAGCUAGUGUGAGUGAUGCAGAACAACUUAAGUCAAAUCAGAUGAGUUUUAAGCCACUAAUUGUGACAAGUUCUUUGUCAUGUGUGGCUCGUCUCAAGAAAGAGAUUAGUUAAUGUUGAAAAACAAUAUAGAAUAAUAUUUUAAAUUUCCAUUUAUUUCCAUUUCAUUUUUCUAAUUAGAUUCUUGUCUCUAAUUAGAUUCUAAUUGUAUUAUUCCCAGAGCCUGGAACAGAACUUUUAUUUCUCUCAAAAUUACAUGUUUUCACCAAUGAAGGCACAAAAUCACUGGGCAAAGUGUCUCAUUUUUAUCUCACAAAAUCACUGAAUGGCUGAGGUUGGAAGGGACCUCUAGAAGUGAUCUGGUCUAAACCCCUGCUCAAGAUGGUUGCUUAGGACCACAUCCAGAAGGCUUUUGAAGGUCUCCAAGGAAAGAGACCCCCCAACCUCUGUGGAGAACCUAUGCCAGUGCUUUAUCACCCUCACAGUAGAGAAGUGCUUCCUGAUGCUCAGAGAGAACCCCUUGUGUUCCUGUGUUCCCGUUUGUGCCCAUUACCUCUUUUUCUGGUGAUGUGCCCAUCACCUCUUUUUGUUUUUCAUCACUUCUUUUUUUUUAUUUCUUAAAUCUGUUCUCACAGAAAUGCAAAUGACAUCGCUUAUUGUCUUGGCUCUGGCCAGCGGUCGGCCCCUUAUCUAACAUGGGGCAGCUUCAGGAUUCUUCUCACAGAAGCCACCCCUAUGCCCCCCACUACAAAAGCCUUGCCACUACACAUACCUGGGACAGUUGAUUUAAACCUGUAGAGCGACAGUGACAGCAAAAACCCAGUUAAGGAGCUGAAAAUUGAAGCAGUAAAUAAAAGGAACCAAGCAUACAUCAAGAGCUGUUAGCUGAUCCACAGGUGACAAUGUGAGCUCUUCAUUGACUUGAAAGAUCUCAUCAGGCUGACAGUCUAGCAAUUUCACUGCUGUCCUUUACAUCAUGAGACUCCUCUCACCAUCUUAAUGCCUCACAAGGACAGACACUGCUGCCAGCAAAAACUUUAUUGGAAGAGGCUCUGCAGAGAUGAUGCAUUAACUCUAAAGUGCCAAAAAAUUAAUUGUGGGGCCAAGCUGAAUGUGUCACUGCCUUUAAUGUCACUUUAUCAGCAAAUUGGAAAGGAUUAUUAUUCAGAUUAAUGUGAAGACUAUUCAAUACAACAGAUGCACAAUUGCAGAGGAGUGCCAACUUCUUUCCUUGAUUGUUCUUUGCUUUUGAAGUUUUGAAGUUUGAAAGAGUGAGACUUCAGCUCACUGAAGGCUCAUUUAAAUCAGCAAAGUUUUUCCACUGAAAAGUGUAAGGGAGUACAAAGCUUCAUGAAUCUGGGUUAAAGUUGUGAUAAUCAUUCUAGUUGUGAUAAUCAUUCUAAUAGGUUCAAGUACUAGGAAAAAUAGGGAGAGGUUAAAAUUUUUCUCCUUUUGACAAGUGAGAAGUGUAACUAACUUACCCACACACUCUCACAGAUCAAACAUAGAUCUGAAACUUGCAGCUUUUUGUGUUUUCAGAGACUGACUUCUUGAGAUUAUUCUCUUAUAAAAUGAGUACUAAUAGAGUAUGGAAGAGGAAGAAGCAGAAAAAAUGAAAAAUUAUUUAUAUUUUCAUUUUUAAAGUCUUUAAUAUAAAAAGAUUCCAAAAAUACAGUUCAGAGAAAGAUCAAGUUUAUUUUAUGCAAGUUAGUGCAUGUUGUAAGACAGAUAAAAGAUCCUGCAAGCCAAACCUGGGGAGUAAAAGCAGAAAGGGACUGACCUGAAUUACUUGAACCUUGUUGAUGCAGUGCACAGCUACACUAGCCAUGUAGCUGUGCACUUUAAUAUCUUUAAUUUUAAUAAUCUUUAAUUUAAUUUAAUUUUAAUUAAUUUAAUUUAAUUUUAAUAAUCUUUUAAUAAUCUUUAAUAUCUUUAAUAUCUAAUAUCUUUAUUUUAAUAUCUUUAAUAAAGAUAUUAAAGAAGAUGGGCCCCAGCCCCCAGUGGAAAAACACCACUGGUGACCAGUAGUCAACUGGGUGUCACUCCAUUCACCACCACUCACUGGGCUUGGCCAUCUAGCCAGUGUUUAACCCAGCAAAGAGUGUAUCUGUCCAACCGAUGGGCUGCCAGCUUCUCCAGGAAAAUACUAUGGGAGACCAUGUCAAAGGCCUUGCUGAAGUCUAGGCAAACUACAUCAACACCUCAUCCACCACAUGGGUCACCUGGUCGUAGAAGAAGACAAGGUUGGUCAGGCAGGACUUACCUUUCAUGAACCCACGUUGACUGGGCCUGAUCCCCUGGUUGUCUAGCAUAUACUGUGUGAUUACAUUCAAGAUCACUGGUUUCAUCACCUUUCCUGGCACCAAGGUCCGACUGACAGGUCUGUGGUUCCCUGGGUGUUCCUUACGACCUUUCUUAUGUAUGGGCAUCACAUUAGCAAGUCUCCAGUCAUCUCAGUCAUCAUGGUCCACCUCUCAGGUUGACCUUGACUGCUGAUAGAUGAUGGAAAGUGGCCCAACAAUCACACCCACUAAAUCCCUCAGCAAGCUCGGGUGGAUCCCUUCUGGCCCCAUGGACUUGUGACGGUCCAGGUGGAGCAGCAGGUCUCUGUUCCCACCUGAACUGUGGGGGGUUUCUUCUAUUCCUCAUCCCAGACUUCCAGGUUGGGAGGCUGAGUAUGCCAAGGAUAAGUGGUCUGGCUAGUAAAGACAUCUGUCUGUAAAGACAGAUGCAAAGAAGGCAUUAAGAACCUCAGCCUUUUCCUUAUCUUCAGUUCCCCCCUGCAUCCAGUAAAUAAUGAAGAUUCUCCUUGUUCCUCCUCUUGCUGUAAUUGUAUUUGUAAAAACAUUUUUUGUUAUCCUUAACCAUAGUGGCCAGGUUGAGCUCGUGCUGGGCUUUGACCUUCCUGUUUUUUUCUCUGUAUAUGUUGGCAACUUCCCUGUACUCUCCCCAUGUUGCCUGCCCCUUCUUCCACUGGACAUAAACUCUCUUUUUCUCACCGACACUCAGCAAAAGUUCCCUGUUCAGUCAUGCUGUUCUUCUUCCCUGCCAGUCCACCUUAUGAGUCCUUCUCUGUUUGUGAACAGCAGGUCUAGCAGGGCACCCCCUCUGGCCGGCUGACUAACCAGCUGAGUUGGGAAGCUGUCUUCAUGCACUUUAGAAAUCCCCUAGCCUGCUUCCUUUGAGCUGUAUAGUAUUUCUAGCAUUUUUCCAGGAAUUUAAAGUCCUCUAUGAACAAGUGCUGUUGAUUGAGUGACUUCUGCCAGCUGCUUAUAGAAGACCACAUCCACCUCUUCAUCCUGGUUUGGCUGUCUACAACAGACGCCCACCAGGAUGUCUGCCUUGUGGGCCAAUUCCCUGAUCCUCAGGUAUCUGUUCAGGGUUUUGUUGUGAGUUUCUGUGAACAGAAAAUAGGUAGUGUUUUAUUGUUUCUCUUCAGUAAUGUGAGAAGUUUAGAGAGAUUUGUUUUAGACCAUUUUAGUACUGCUUCGCUCUCUCCUCUCCCUACUUCUUUUUUUUUUUUUUUUUUUU